GCCCUGGCCGGGUGGCUCAGUUGGUUGAAACAUUGUCCUCUACACCAAAAGACUGCAGGUUCAAUUGCUGGUCAGGCACAUACCUAGGU